CCAAGAAUACAACAGAUUCAGUAACCAAAAAAUUACAUCGACAACACUCGAAAAAAUCCAUAACCAACCGGCAUCAAAGACUUCACCGAUCUAAGGCUCAGACACUACACCCUUCUGUAUCUUUCACAGAGGCAUCGAACAGACCCAAGAAACCCUCACAACUCAAGAUACGAAACAAGAGUCACUUCGAUGAACCAGAAAGAACUCAACCCCAGAUCUAUCGUCUUAC
rnacentral:lncRNA from 1 species